rnacentral:rRNA from 1 species
CUGGCUCAGGAUGAACGCUAGCUACAGGCUUAACACAUGCAAGUCGAGGGGCAGCAUGGGAGUUGCUUGCAACUCUGAUGGCGACCGGCGCACGGGUGAGUAACGCGUAUCCAACCUUCCCCUUAGUAGGGCAUAGCCCGUAGAAAUGCGGAUUAAUACCCUAUGUUCUUCGAAGCGGUCAUCCAAUUUGAAGCAAAGAUUCAUCGCUAAGGGAUGGGGAUGCGUCCGAUUAGGUUGUUGGCGGGGUAACGGCCCACCAAGCCAUCGAUCGGUAGGGGUUCUGAGAGGAAGGUCCCCCACAUUGGAACUGAGACACGGUCCAAACUCCUACGGGAGGCAGCAGUGAGGAAUAUUGGUCAAUGGACGAGAGUCUGAACCAGCCAAAAGUAGCGUGCAGGACGACGGCCCUAUGGGUUGUAAACUGCUUUUAUACAGGGAUAAAGUCGGGGACGUGUCCCCGUUUGUAGGUACUGUAUGAAUAAGGACCGGCUAAUUCCGUGCCAGCAGCCGC